CUUAAGGGUGUCGGCGGGGCCGUUGGGCGGAGGAGGUGGGGGGGUGCCCCGCCCACACCGAGAGCCAGGCUGGGGCGGAGACAGUUAAAGGUCACUGCAAACCGAGAUCUGGGACUCCUUGCAUAUGAAGAGAGGCCUCAAUUUCGCUCAGCUUUUAUCGUGGACUCCUUGACAUUCAUCCAUGGAACCCCCUCACUUGCAUGGAAGGACACUAGCCAGAGAGGAGCUAGAGGCAGAAGCCGGUCUGGGCUCAGCAUAAUGUACUCUGAAGGGAAGCCCCGGUCGCCCAGGAGGAGGUACUGAGAACAACUUCUGCUGACUCCAGGCACGAACAGUUCCUAACGGCGCUGGACACACGAUCACUCCCCAGUCAACUGACCACACUCGCUAAACUGUAACUGAGAAAAAUAACCUGGACAAAAAACAGACCUUCUAAACUCCCCUAUAUAUUCUGAAAACCCCAAGACUCUGGUGCAACAGUCUGGCCUCAAACCUGACUGCUGCCCCUCCUUGCCGAUUAAAAGCAAUCUGGUUCUAUUGAGACUGUUUCAUUUCUUUCUUUCUUUUUUUUUUUUUUUUGUCUUUUUGCCAUUUCUUGGGCCGCUCCCACGGCAUGUGGAGGUUCCCAGGCUAGGGGUCUAAUCGGAGCUGUAGCUGCCAGCCUAUGGCAGAGGCACAGCAACUCGGGAUCCGAGCCGCGUCUGCAACCUACACCACAGCUCACGGCAAUG
rnacentral:lncRNA from 9 species